UGGGCUUUAGGUGUUACGGAAGCAUAGGAGCCCAACAGAGAGAAACCUUUGUCGUCCUCAUCCGCCUUCCAUCGAAUUUUAGGGUUCAUCCUACUGUUCGAUCUCCGACGACGGCGUUGUUCACAUACCUCUCCGACGAAAACGUUGUUCAUAUACCUUAUCGCAGCCGACGUCUCUGUUGAUUUGCUUGAAGUUCAUCUCAACGAGUAUCAAAAACAGGCACCGUUACGGAACUUCUGCAUUCAAUUAUUUUCAUUAAUGCUCUAUUUAACUCUAUUUUCCCACUCAUCACACGAUCUGUCGUCCAAUACAUCCUCUCCUUCCUUCCGUUAUGAGAAUCUGCAGCUAUAAGUAUGUUGCAAAGAUAAAGAGGUCUCACAAAAAGCUGGGAAAGGAACUCUGAGAUGGGUUCGUUUGGACAAUCUAGAUUUUUAGCUAGUCAAUUCGAGUUGAGCACAUUGUGUUUGAAGUGGAUGUUUGUAAUACCAAAGCAAACUCCUAAGAUCAUUAGAUGGUGAUAACUUUAAUGGAAAUGAAUAAUAUAGUUGAAUGAAGCCAUCCCUUGAAUACUACAAUAACAACAGGUCAAAGAUGACAUCUCAUCUUCGGGAACAUCCGUCUUGGAAUGAGAAUCAUGCAUCAACGAUCGUGGUGGUUAUAUACUACAGGUUUGUUGAGGAAGCUCACCGAGCAUCAACACAUCACAUGUUGAAGCAGAGAGUAAUUAGAAUGGUAUCGGGAUUCAUAGCAAUGCAUGCUACAUAAGCUAGCAGAGAUGUCGAUUGCUGCCUUACUCCUUAGUCAGCGUCUUAUCUCUAAGGGAAGUAGACUCUUGGAGUUCUUUGAUAAACGGAUCAAGGUUGAGUGAUCACAUGGUGAUUGUUCUUGCUGAAGAAGCAGGGCAAGAGUUAAUGUGCGAAAGCAUGGAAUUUAACACGGACGCCUCUGAUUAAAAGCUUCUUAAAGAUGUCGGCUUCUGGCUUACCACAAAGCAUCAAGGUAAAAGUUAGAUUCAAACUUUCACUUAUGCCAUUUCAGAUAACUGUUACGAGGAUCAUUUUCAGAAGAUACAAAGUGGCUAAUGGGUUAGAGUAAGUGAGCUGGGUCACGAGUCUUUAACCUUCCAUGCAAAGUGAUAAUAAGAGAGAUCCUUAUCUAGAGAUUAGAUCACAAGAGGGGGAGGAUCAAUUUAAGAAGCAUUAACCGAGGAGAAGCAAGAGGAACCGGACUUUUUGAUAUUCCUCCAGCAACUAAAGAGAUCACUAAGUGAAGAUCAGAAAAGCAUUGUUUAAGAACUUCCAAAACAUAUAUAUUCAUGAUUUCCGUGAACUUUUGGCCAAAAGGAAAUAGUUGUAAGUUCUAGCUAGCGAUUUCACAUAUUUGUUGGCAAAUAUGCUAUGUUUUAUUAUUCUGUUUUAAAUUUUUAGUUUUGUCACCCUUUUGAACGUACACCACAUCAUGUGAUUAGGAAUGUGAUUUUCUUGGUUUAAACGGA